UUCUUAAUAGCAUUUGAUAGAGGGACGCC
rnacentral:piRNA from 1 species